AUUGAACGCUGGCGGCAGGCCUAACACAUGCAAGUCGAGCGGCAGCGGGAAAGUAGCUUGCUACUUUUGCCGGCGAGCGGCGGAUGGGUGAGUAAUGCCUGGGGUUCUGCCCAAUCGAGGGGGAUAACUACUGGAAACGGUAGCUAAUACCGCAUACGCCCUACGGGGGAAAGCAGGGGACCUUCGGGCCUUGCGCGAUUGGAUGAACCCAGGUGGGAUUAGCUAGUUGGUGAGGUAACGGCUCACCAAGGCGACGAUCCCUAGCUGGUCUGAGAGGAUGAUCAGCCACACUGGAACUGAGACACGGGCCAGACUCCUACGGGAGGCAGCAGUGGGGAAUAUUGCACAAUGGGGGAAACCCUGAUGCAGCCAUGCCGCGUGUGUGAAGAAGGCCUUCGGGUUGUAAAGCACUUUCAGCGAGGAGGAAAGGUUGAUGCCUAAUACGUAUCAACUGUGACGUUACUCGCAGAAGAAGCACCGGCUAACUCCGUGCCAGCAGCCGCCGUAAUAC
rnacentral:rRNA from 1 species